rnacentral:rRNA from 1 species
UUGGCCUACGGGAGGCAGCAGUGGGGGAUAUCGCACAAUGGAGGAAACUCUGAUGCAGCGACGCCGCGUGAGGGAAGACGGUCUUCGGAUUGUAAACCUCUGUCUUUGGGGAAGAAAAUGACGGUACCCAAAGAGGAAGCUCCGGCUAACUACGUGCCAGCAGCCGCGGUAAUACGUAGGGAGCGAGCGUUGUCCGGAAUUACUGGGUGUAAAGGGAGCGUAGGCGGGCGAGAAAGUUGAAUGUUAAAUCUACCGGCUUAACAGGUAGCCGCGUUCAAAACUUCUUGUCUUGUGUGAUGUAGAGG